GGCGAAGGAAAGUCCCCCCCCCCCUCUGGAGGCUUCCGUCUCCACGUGGAGUACCAAAUGCUCAGAGACGCC
rnacentral:ribozyme from 1 species